CCGGCCCUAAUGACGGCCUGCCUUAAAGCCGGCCUGCUGGUGAGGCAGACCCGAAACUUGGCGUG
rfam:Chelonia mydas contig271270, whole genome shotgun sequence.